rnacentral:rRNA from 1 species
UACGGAGGGUGCGAGCGUUGUCCGGAAUUACUGGGCGUAAAGCGUGCGCAGGCGGUUUUGUAAGCCAGAUGUGAAAUCCCCGGGCUUAACCUGGGAAUGGCAUUUGGGACUGCAAGGCUUGAGUGCGGCAGAGGAGACUGGAAUUCCUGGUGUAGCAGUGAAAUGCGUAGAUAUCAGGAGGAAUACCGAUGGCGAAGGCAGGUCUCUGGGCUGACACUGACGCUCAUGCACGAAAGCGUGGGGAGCAAACAGG